UUAGAGUUUGAUCCUGGCUCAGGACGAACGCUGGCGGCGUGCCUAAUACAUGCAAGUCGAACGAACUCUGGUAUUGAUUGGUGCUUGCAUCAUGAUUUACAUUUGAGUGAGUGGCGAACUGGUGAGUAACACGUGGGAAACCUGCCCAGAAGCGGGGGAUAACACCUGGAAACAGAUGCUAAUACCGCAUAACAACUUGGACCGCAUGGUCCGAGCUUGAAAGAUGGCUUCGGCUAUCACUUUUGGAUGGUCCCGCGGCGUAUUAGCUAGAUGGUGGGGUAACGGCUCACCCAUGGCAAUGAUACGUAGCCUAUCU
rnacentral:rRNA from 1 species